rnacentral:tRNA from 2 species
GCGGAAAUAGCUCAGUUGAUAGAGCAUUAGCCUUCCAAGCUGAGGGUCGCGGGUUUGAGUCCCGUUUUCCGCUCUA